UACGAAGGGGGCUAGCGUUGUUCGGAUUUACUGGGCGUAAAGGGCACGUAGGCGGAUCGUUAAGUCGGGGGUGAAAUCCUGGAGCUCAACUCCAGAACUGCCUUCGAUACUGGCGAUCUUGAGUCCGGAAGAGGUGAGUGGAACUCCUAGUGUAGAGGUGGAAUUCGUAGAUAUUAGGAAGAACACCAGUGGCGAAGGCGGCUCACUGGUCCGGUACUGACGCUGAGGUGCGAAAGCGUGGGGAGCAAACAGG
rnacentral:rRNA from 1 species